rnacentral:rRNA from 1 species
UACGAAGGGGGCUAGCGUUGUUCGGAAUCACUGGGCGUAAAGCGCACGUAGGCGGCUUCUCAAGUCAGGGGUGAAAUCCUGGAGCUCAACUCCAGAACUGCCUUUGAUACUGAGGGGCUCGAGUCCGGGAGAGGUGAGUGGAACUGCGAGUGUAGAGGUGAAAUUCGUAGAUAUUCGCAAGAACACCAGUGGCGAAGGCGGCUCACUGGCCCGGUACUGACGCUGAGGUGCGAAAGCGUGGGGAGCAAACAGG